GAUAACAACCCCAAUACACUUUGUCAUUUAUUUUUGAUAUUACAUACUGAAUAUACGUUCAUCCAAGCUUAUUAGAUUCAUUAUUUUAAAACUAGAUGAAGGGCUAGAAAGUAUUAAGGCUUUGUAAUAUCACUGAGGUUACGUGCGUCACAGCAAAAUGGAAUGAGGCAACAAUCAGGUGGAGGUAUUCCUGUUAAAUCUCCUAUCCCUUUGGCAUUUCUGAUCCCUUCUGCACUUCCCAUUAAAGUAAUGAUGAUAGCAACAACAAGAACCAUAACCGUUAUCACUAUCUUCAUUGAAGUUGCAUGCAUUGAAACUCAACUUGAUUUUGGAAGGAAAAGGUGAAGGUGUAUUUUUUUAUGGAUUGUGAAAGUGAUAUGAAUAUAUAGUUAUAUGGGGAAUCCUCAC
rnacentral:lncRNA from 1 species